rnacentral:rRNA from 1 species
AUGUUAUAUGAGUCAUCAGGUGGCAUUCCUCAUGGGCGACUAGCAAUAGCGUAUGGAGCAAUUAAGAAGGCUGAUGUUAUCUCAAUAGCUAGAGAGAAGAAACUGAGGCCGUUAUCUUCAGCAUCAUUUCGGCGAACUAUUCAAGAAAAUGAAGAACUGAAGCGACGAGCUAUUCAAGAAAAUGAAGAACUGAAGCGACGUAAUGAGAACCUUCAAAAGAUAGUGGAUAUGCAUGGAAGACUUUUCUUGGCCCUUUUUAAGGAGAUGGGAAAAGAACUACCAGAGGAGCUACGCCAAGGAGAAAGUUUCCAACCACAUGGGGGCACUAAUUCAUCUCAAAUUGAAACCCAAGCACUUGAUGACAACACCGGUGAUGGUGAUUUGGGUGGAACUGUUGGCGGUGACAACUCCAAUGGGAAUAUUGGCGACAUGGCUAUUGGUGCUACUAACCUUCACUGCAACAACCUGGAAAGCGAGACUUAG